rnacentral:rRNA from 1 species
UGCGAUGCCGCGUGAGUGAAGAAGGCCUUUGGGUUGUAAAGCUCUUUUGUAGGGGAAGAUAAUGACUGUACCCUAAGAAUAAGGUCCGGCUAACUUCGUGCCAGCAGCCGCGGUAAUACGAAGGGACCUAGCGUAGUUCGGAAUUACUGGGCGUAAAGCGCGCGUAGGCCGUUGAGUUAGUUAAUUGUGAAAUCCCAAAGCUUAACUUUGGAACUGCAAUUAAAACUGCUCGACUAGAGUUUGAUAGAGGAAAGCGGAAUACAUAGUGUAGAGGUGAAAUUCGUAGAUAUUAUGUAGAACACCAGUUGCGAAGGCGGCUUUCUGGGUCAACACUGACGCUGAGGCGCGAAAGUAUGGGUAGCAAAGAGGAUUAGAUACCCUCGUAGUCCAUACCAUAAACGAUGAUUGCUAGAUGUUGGAAAUUUAUUUUCAGUAUCGCAGCUAACGCAUUAAGCAAUCCGCCUGGGGAGUACGACCGCAAGGUUAAAACUCAAAUGAAUUGACGGGGACCCGCACAAGCGGUGGAGCAUGUGGUUUAAUUCGAAGAUACGCGCAGAACCUUACCAANCCUUGACAUGUCUGUCGCGAGGUUAGGAAACUAGACUUUUCGGU